GCCAUUGUAGCUCAGUCAGUAGAGCAUGAGACUCUUAAACUCAAGGUUGUGGGUUCGAGUCCCAUGUUGAGCA